rnacentral:lncRNA from 1 species
UGGUCAUUGACAGAGGUACAAAUCUCUUUCUGUCUGGAUUAUAAAUGUAGCGUGGAAUAUCAAAGGCUCCAAUAAUGUUGAAAACAUUUUUUAUUGUUUCAUCUAAUGCUUGGCUACAUUCUUGGACAGCUGCUUCCACUGUGGACAGUUCAAUCAUAUUAGUUGACAAAGGCUGCUUUUCAACAGCAUCGAUGAUUUUGUCAAUUACAUCUUCAAACUCUUCUUCAUUGAGGGACUCAAGAGUUUCAGUGAGAUAUUUUACAGCUUCCGCCCGCAGCAGCAGCCCGCGCACCCGGAACGCGGAGCCCAGGCGGCGCCGCAGCCGCUCCGGCUCCAUGGCUGCCGGUUGGCGCCCAGCAGCGCCGCGCCGCCCCGCCGCCCUGGCCCUGCCCCGGGGUGGGAGGAGGCCGCGGGCCGGCCUGGAUGCUGCGUGCAACUGCAGCUC